AGCGUAUAUUAAAGUUGUUGCAGUUAAAAAGCUCGUAGUUGAAUUUCGGGAUCAAUUAGUCGGUCGUGCCUCUGGUACGUACUGGUUUUAUUGGUUCCUCCCUUCUGACGAAACAUGAUGUCAUUAAUUUGGUGUCGUGGAGAAUCAGGACUGUUACCUUGAAAAAAUUAGAGUGUUUAUAGCAGGCUAACGCUUGAAUACAUUANCAUGGAAUAAUGAAAUAGGACGUUCGACCCUAUUUUGUUGGUUUCUAGGAUCGACGUAAUGAUUAAUAGGGAUAGUUGGGGGCAUUAGUAUUCAAUUGUCAGAGGUGAAAUUCUUGGAUUUAUUGAAGACUAACUACUGCGAAAGCAUUUGCCAAGGAUGUUUUCAUUAAUCAAGAACGAAAGUUAGGGGAUCGAAGACGAUCANAUACCGUCGUAGUCUUAACCAUAAAC
rnacentral:rRNA from 1 species